rnacentral:rRNA from 1 species
UACGAAGGGGGCUAGCGUUGUUCGGAAUCACUGGGCGUAAAGCGCACGUAGGCGGCUUUGUCAGUCAGGGGUGAAAUCCCGGGGCUCAACCUCGGAACUGCCUUUGAUACAGCAAGUCUUGAGUUCGAGAGAGGUGAGUGGAAUUCCUAGUGUAGAGGUGAAAUUCGUAGAUAUUAGGAAGAACACCGGUGGCGAAGGCGGCCCACUGGCUCGAUACUGACGCUGAGGUGCGAAAGCGUGGGGAGCAAACAGG